UGGGCUCAGGAUGAACGCUAGCGGCAGGCUUAACACAUGCAAGUCGAGGGGUAUUGGUUUUCGGACCAAGAGACCGGCGCACGGGGUGCGUAACGCGUAUGCAAUCUACCUUUUGCAGAGGGAUAGCCCAGAGAAAUUUGGAUUAAUACCUCAUAGUAUAGUACUUUGGCAUCAAGGAACUAUUAAAGUCACAACGGCAAAAGAUGAGCAUGCGUCCCAUUAGCUAGUUGGUAAGGUAACGGCUUACCAAGGCUACGAUGGGUAGGGGUCCUGAGAGGGAGAUCCCCCACACUGGUACUGAGACACGGACCAGACUCCUACGGGAGGCAGCAGUGGGGAAUAUUGGACAAUGGGCGCAAGCCUGAUCCAGCCAUGCCGCGUGCAGGAUGACGGUCCUAUGGAUUGUAAACUGCUUUUAUACAGGAAGAAACACUCCGACGUGUCGGAGCUUGACGGUACUGUAAGAAUAAGGAUCGGCUAACUCCGUG
rnacentral:rRNA from 1 species